rnacentral:rRNA from 1 species
UACGUAGGCAGCGAGCGUUGUUCGGAGUUACUGGGCGUAAAGGGUGUGUAGGCGGUUGUUUAAGUUUGGUGUGAAAUCUCCCGGCUCAACUGGGAGGGUGCGCCGAAUACUGAAUGACUCGAGUGCGGGAGAGGAAAGUGGAAGUUCCUGGUGUAGCGGUGAAAUGCGUAGAUAUCAGGAGGAACACCGGUGGUGUAGACGGCUUUCUGGACCGUAACUGACGCUGAGACACGAAAGCGUGGGUAGCAAACAGG